UACGUAGGGGGCAAGCGUUGUCCGGAUUUAUUGGGCGUAAAGAGCUCGUAGGCGGUUUGUCGCGUCUGCUGUGAAAACCCGAGGCUCAACCUCGGGCCUGCAGUGGGUACGGGCAGACUAGAGUGCGGUAGGGGAGAUUGGAAUUCCUGGUGUAGCGGUGGAAUGCGCAGAUAUCAGGAGGAACACCAAUGGCGAAGGCAGAUCUCUGGGCCGUAACUGACGCUGAGGAGCGAAAGCAUGGGGAGCGAACAGG
rnacentral:rRNA from 1 species